rnacentral:rRNA from 1 species
GACGAACGCUGGCGGCGUGCCUAAUACAUGCAAGUAGAACGCUGAAGGAGGAGCUUGCUUCUCUGGAUGAGUUGCGAACGGGUGAGUAACGCGUAGGUAACCUGCCUGGUAGUGGGGGAUAACUAUUGGAAACGAUAGCUAAUACCGCAUAAUAGCAGUUGUUGCAUGAUAUCUGUUUGAAAGGUGCAAUUGCACCGCUACCAGAUGGACCUGCGUUGUAUUAGCUAGUUGGUGGGGUAACGGCUCACCAAGGCGACGAUACAUAGCCGACCUGAGAGGGUGAUCGGCCACACUGGGACUGAGACACGGCCCAGACUCCUACGGGAGGCAGCAGUAGGGAAUCUUCGGCAAUGGACGGAAGUCUGACCGAGCAACGCCGCGUGAGUGAAGAAGGUUUUCGGAUCGUAAAGCUCUGUUGUAAGAGAAGAACGAGUGUGAGAGUGGAAAGUUCACACUGUGACGGUAUCUUACCAGAAAGGGACGGCUAACUACGUG